rnacentral:rRNA from 1 species
UACGAAGGGGGCUAGCGUUGCUCGGAAUCACGGGGCGUAAAGGGUGCGUAGGCGGGUUUUUAAGUCAGGGGUGAAAUCCUGGAGCUCAACUCCAGAACUGCCUUUGAUACUGAAGAUCUUGAGUUCGGGAGAGGUGAGUGGAACUGCGAGUGUAGAGGUGAAAUUCGUAGAUAUUCGCAAGAACACCAGUGGCGAAGGCGGCUCACUGGCCCGAUACUGACGCUGAGGCACGAAAGCGUGGGGAGCAAACAGG